AGAGGGUGCGAGCGUUGUCCGGAAUCACUGGGCGUAAAGGGCGCGUAGGCGGUCUCUUAAGCGUGUGGUGAAAGCCCGGGGCUCAACUCCGGGUCGGCCGUGCGAACUGGGGGACUGGAGCUUGUCAGAGGCAGGCGGAAUUCCGGGUGUAGCGGUGGAAUGCGUAGAGAUCCGGAAGAACACCGGUGGCGAAGGCGGCCUGCUGGGACAGUGCUGACGCUGAGGCGCGACAGCGUGGGGAGCAAACAGGAUUAGAUACCCUGGUAGUCCACGCCGUAAACGAUGGGCACUAGGUGCUUGGGGGAGCGACCCCCUGAGUGCCGGCGCUAACGCAUUAAGUGCCCCGCCUGGGGAGUACGGCCGCAAGGCUG
rnacentral:rRNA from 1 species